UACGUAGGGGGCUAGCGUUGUCCGGAAUCAUUGGGCGUAAAGAGCGUGUAGGCGGCCCGGUAAGUCCGCUGUAAAAGUCAAAGGCUCAACCUUUGAAUGUCAGUGGAUACUGCCGGGCUAGAGUCCGGAAGAGGCGAGUGGAACUCCUGGUGUAGCGGUGGAAUGCGCAGAUAUCAGGAGGAACACCAAUGGCGAAGGCAGCUCGCUGGGACGGUACUGACGCUGAGACGCGAAAGCGUGGGGAGCAAACAGG
rnacentral:rRNA from 1 species